rnacentral:rRNA from 1 species
GACGAACGCUGGCGGCGUGCCUAAUACAUGCAAGUCGAACGAGAGCGACCGGUGCUUGCACUGGUCAAUCUAGUGGCGAACGGGUGAGUAACACGUGGGUAACCUGCCCAUCAGAGGGGGAUAACAUUCGGAAACGGAUGCUAAAACCGCAUAGGUUCUUGAGUCGCAUGACUGAAGAAGAAAAAGAGGCUUCGGCUUCUGCUGAUGGAUGGACCCGCGGUGCAUUAGCUAGUUGGUGAGGUAACGGCUCACCAAGGCCGUGAUGCAUAGCCGACCUGAGAGGGUGAUCGGCCACAUUGGGACUGAGACACGGCCCAAACUCCUACGGGAGGCAGCAGUAGGGAAUCUUCCGCAAUGGACGCAAGUCUGACGGAGCAACGCCGCGUGAGUGAAGAAGGAUUUCGGUUCGUAAAACUCUGUUGUUAGAGAAGAACAGCGCAUAGAGUAACUGUUAUGCGUGGGACGGUAUCUAACCA